rnacentral:rRNA from 1 species
UGGGGAAUAUUGCACAAUGGGCGCAAGCCUGAUGCAGCCAUGCCGCGUGUGUGAAGAAGGCCUUCGGGUUGUAAAGCACUUUCAGCGAGGAGGAAGGUGGUGAGCUUAAUACGCUCAUCAAUUGACGUUACUCGCAGAAGAAGCACCGGCUAACUCCGUGCCAGCAGCCGCGGUAAUACGGAGGGUGCAAGCGUUAAUCGGAAUUACUGGGCGUAAAGCGCACGCAGGCGGUUUGUUAAGUCAGAUGUGAAAUCCCCGGGCUCAACCUGGGAACUGCAUUUGAAACUGGCAAGCUAGAGUCUCGUAGAGGGGGGUAGAAUUCCAGGUGUAGCGGUGAAAUGCGUAGAGAUCUGGAGGAAUACCGGUGGCGAAGGCGGCCCCCUGGACGAAGACUGACGCUCAGGUGCGAAAGCGUGGGGCAGCAAACAGGAUUAGAUACCCUGGUAGUCCACGCUGUAAACGAUGUCGAUUUGGAGGUUGUGCCCUUGAGGCGUGGCUUCCGGAGCUAACGCGUUAAAUCGACCGCCUGGGGAGUACGGCCGCAAGGUUAAAACUUAAAGGAAUUGACGGGGUCAUAGCUGUUUCCU